rnacentral:rRNA from 2 species
GGGCCCGCACAAGCAGUGGAUUAUGUGGUUUAAUUCGAAGCAACGCGAAGAACCUUACCAGGUCUUGACAUCCAACUAACGAGGCAGAGAUGCGUUAGGUGCCCUUCGGGGAAAGUUGAGACAGGUGGUGCAUGGUUGUCGUCAGCUCGUGUCGUGAGAUGUUGGGUUAAGUCCCGCAACGAGCGCAACCCCUGCCAUUAGUUGCUACGCAAGAGCACUCUAAUGGGACCGCUACCGACAAGGUGGAGGAAGGUGGGGACGACGUCAAAUCAUCAUGCCCUUUAUGACCUGGGCUACACACGUAAUACAAUGGCCGUUAACAAAGAGAAGCAAUCCCGCGAGGGGGAGGCAAAACUCCAAAAACGGUCUCAGUUCGGAUCGCAGGCUGCAACCCGCCUGCGUGAAGUUGGAAUUGCUAGUAAUCGCGGAUCAGCAUGCCGCGGUGAUACG